rnacentral:lncRNA from 1 species
AACAUCUAUAAAAGGAGACUGUGAGGCAAUAAGUCGAUCAUCCAAGCAAACUCACAGAUUCCAACUAAAAACUAAUCAGCAAGACAAUGACGAGUCACCAAGUGAAAAAUCAGGUGAGAGACACAGUUGAGGAAGGCUUCGACAAGCUCCACAGGGUUGCCGACGUCGUGACUUUUCCUUUGGCCCCUCUGGACGGUGCCAUUCAUGGCACGGCCCGAGGGGUCAUCAACUGGCUCACAGAUACCCAUCCUGACAGAUCCAAGUCCAAGCAAAUUCCUAAUGGCGCUGGCUACGGUGGCGGACAUGGGGGCAGCUAUAGCGGCGGCUAUGGCGAUGGCGGAAAUGGCAGUGGAUAUGGUGGAAAUCCCAACCGCAGAACUUUCAACUUUAAAGGGAAUGAGGUUAGCAACAACGAGGGCCCAACUUAUGGAUUUAAAAAAUUUGGCAACAGGCGUGGCGGCGGCCCCUACAGUGGCGGUUCUGAAUUCGGCUUUGAGAACAAUAAACUGAACGGGAACAAGGGCCACACUGAGGGAUUUAACGACUUUGGCAACGAAUACUGAAUAGGAACAAGCUCUAAGCAUGCAUGUAAUGGAAUAAGAGCUGAUCAAAUAUCUGAGGCUUGUAACUAUGCCUCUUUAGUUAUAUAAUAAAUAAAUAAAGGGAGCUGUUAUUUUCACCUUCUUGUCUUAUUUUCUUAUCAACUUUAUCUUUAAAAUUUUAAAGAUAAAUUUAUCCCUUUGUAAAAUUACCUCUAGGAACUUAGGAGGACACACAUUUUCAAGCACAAUAAAACACACUUUUAACACCC